CGGUGACUCUGUGUUCAACGGCCGCGGUAUCCUAACCGUGCAAAGGUAGCGCAAUCAAUUGUCCCAUAAAUCGAGACCUGUAUGAACGGCCAAACGAGGUCUUAACUGUCUCUUACAGAUAAUCAGUGAAAUUGAUCCCCCUGUACAAAAGCAGGGAUACACCCACAAGACGAGAAGACCCUGUGGAACUUAAAAAUCAACGGCCACCCCACAAGCCUCCCCCUUUCCCCCGAAGGACUCCCCCCAACACACCAAACUGGCCACUAUUUUUUGGUUGGGGCGACCUUGGAGAAAAACAAACCCUCCAAAACAAAGACCACACCUCUUGACCAAGAGCAGCACCUCAACGUACUAACAGUAACCAGACCCAAUAGCAAUUGAGCAAUGAACCAAGCUACCCCAGGGAUAACAGCGCAAUCCCCCCCAAGAGCCCCUAUCGACGAGGGGGUUUACGACC
rnacentral:rRNA from 1 species